GUCUGCAGUCACACCACCCUGAAUGCACCCAGUCUCCUCUGAUCUCAGAAGCUAAGCAGGGUCAGGUCUGGUUAGUACUUGGAUGGGAGAGUGUUUUCUCAAGGUGCAUUCA
rnacentral:rRNA from 1 species